GGGGAUAUAGUCCAGUUUGGUUAAGAUACGAGGUUUGGGACUUCGUGACCGCGGUUCAAAUCCGCGUAUCCCCA
rnacentral:tRNA from 1 species